CAGUCAUGAUCCAGUGAUCAGAAUGUUUCAUUGUCUUUUCAUUGUUUUGAAAAUCUCACUGUUCUCCAUGCCAUCCAGUCAUGAUCCAGUGAUCAGAAUGUUCCAUUGUCUUUUCAUUGUUCUGAAAAUCUCACUGUUCUCCAUGCCAUCCAAUCAUGAUCCAGUGAUCAGAAUGUCCCAUUGUCUUUCAUUGUUCUGAAAAUCUCACUGUUCCCCAUGCCAUCCAGUCAUAAUUCAGUGAUCAGAAUGUUCCAUUGUCUUUUCAUUGUUUUGAAAAUCCCACUGUUCUCCAUGCCAUUCAGUCAUGAUCCAGUGAUCAGAAUGUUCCAUUGUCUUUUCAUUGUUUUGAAAAUCCCACUGUUCUCCAUGCCAUCCAGUCAUGAUCCAGUGAUCAAAAUGUUCCAUUGUCUUUUCAUUGUUUUGAAAAUCUCACUGUCCUUCAUGCCAUCCAGUCAUGAUCCAGUGAUCAGAAUGUUCCAUUGUCUUUUCAUUGUUUUGAAAAUCUCACUGUUCUCCAUGCCAUCCAGUCAUGAUCA